rnacentral:rRNA from 1 species
GAUGAACGCUGGCGGCGUGCCUAAUACAUGCAAGUAGAACGCUGAAGGAAGGAGCUUGCUCUUUCCGGAUGAGUUGCGAACGGGUGAGUAACGCGUAGGUAACCUGCCUGGUAGCGGGGGAUAACUAUUGGAAACGAUAGCUAAUACCGCAUAACAGUAGAUGUUGCAUGAUAUCUACUUAAAAGGUGCAAUUGCACCACUACCAGAUGGACCUGCGUUGUAUUAGCUAGUUGGUGAGGUAACGGCUCACCAAGGCGACGAUACAUAGCCGGCCUGAGAGGGUGAUCGGCCACACUGGGACUGAGACACGGCCCAGACUCCUACGGGAGGCAGCAGUAGGGAAUCUUCGGCAAUGGACGGAAGUCUGACCGAGCAACGCCGCGUGAGUGAAGAAGGGUUUCGGAUCGUAAAGCUCUGUUGUAAGAGAAGAACGAGUGUGAGAGUGGAAAGUUCACACUGUGACGGUAUCUUACCAGAAAGGGACGGCUAACUACGUG